UACGUAGGUGACCAGCGUUGUCCGGAUUUACUGGGCGUAAAGAGCGCGCAGGCGGUCGUUCAAGUCGAGUGUGAAAGCCCCCGGCUCAACUGGGGAGGGUCACUCGAUACUGAUCGACUUGAAGGCAGGAGAGGGAAGCGGAAUUCCCGGUGUAGUGGUGAAAUGCGUAGAUAUCGGGGAGGAACACCAGUGGCGAAGGCGGCUUCCUGGCCUGUUCUUGACGCUGAGGCGCGAAAGCUAGGGGAGCAAACGGGG
rnacentral:rRNA from 1 species